CAAUAGCGUAUAUUAAAGUUGUUGCAGUCAAAAAGCUCGUAGUUGGAUUUGUGGCGUACGGUGGGUUCCGGGCACUUGUUGUCUGAGUAACUUGCUGUUGCCAUCCUUGGGUGGAACCUGUGUGGCAUUAGGUUGUCGUGCAGGGGAUGCCCAUCAUUUACUGUGAAAAAAUUAGAGUGUUCAAAGCAGGCUUAUGCCGUUGAAUAUAUUAGCAUGGAAUAAUGAGAUAGGACUUUUUUGCUAUUUUGUUGGUUUGCGCAAAGAGGUAAUGAUUAAUAGGGACAGUUGGGGGUAUUCGUAUUCCAUUGUCAGAGGUGAAAUUCUUGGAUUUUUGGAAGACGAACUACUGCGAAAGCAUUUACCAAGGAUGUUUUCAUUAA
rnacentral:rRNA from 1 species